rnacentral:rRNA from 1 species
UUAAGCGACUAAGCGUACACGGUGGAUGCCCUGGCAGUCAGAGGCGAUGAAGGACGUGCUAAUCUGCGAUAAGCGUCGGUAAGGCGAUAUGAACCGUUAUAACCGGCGAUUUCCGAAUGGGGAAAGCCAGUGUGAUUCGUCACACUAUCAUUAACUGAAUCCAUAGGUUAAUGAGGCGAACCGGGGGAACUGAAACAUCUAAGUACCCCGAGGAAAAGAAAUCAACCGAGAUUCCCCCAGUAGCGGCGAGCGAACGGGGAGCAGCCCAGAGCCUGAAUCAGUGUGUGUGUUAGUGGAAGCGUCUGGAAAGGCGUGCGAUACAGGGUGACAGCCCCGUACACAAAAAUGCACAUACUGUGAGCUCGAUGAGUAGGGCGGGACACGUGGUAUCCUGUCUGAAUAUGGGGGGACCAUCCUCCAAGGCUAAAUACUCCUGACUGACCGAUAGUGAACCAGUACCGUGAGGGAAAGGCGAAAAGAACCCCGGCGAGGGGAGUGAAAAAGAACCUGAAACCGUGUACGUACAAGCAGUGGGAGCACGCUUAGGCGUGUGACUGCGUACCUUUUGUAUAAUGGGUCAGCGACUUAUAUUCUGUAGCAAGGUUAACCGAAUAGGGGAGCCGAAGGGAAACCGAGUCUUAACUGGGCGUUAAGUUGCAGGGUAUAGACCCGAAACCCGGUGAUCUAGCCAUGGGCAGGUUGAAGGUUGGGUAACACUAACUGGAGGACCGAACCGACUAAUGUUGAAAAAUUAGCGGAUGACUUGUGGCUGGGGGUGAAAGGCCAAUCAAACCGGGAGAUAGCUGGUUCUCCCCGAAAGCUAUUUAGGUAGCGCCUCGUGAAUUCAUCUCCGGGGGUAGAGCACUGUUUCGGCAAGGGGGUCAUCCCGACUUACCAACCCGAUGCAAACUGCGAAUACCGGAGAAUGUUAUCACGGGAGACACACGGCGGGUGCUAACGUCCGUCGUGAAGAGGGAAACAACCCAGACCGCCAGCUAAGGUCCCAAAGUCAUGGUUAAGUGGGAAACGAUGUGGGAAGGCCCAGACAGCCAGGAUGUUGGCUUAGAAGCAGCCAUCAUUUUAAAGAAAGCGUAAUAGCUCACUGGUCGAGUCGGCCUGCGCGGAAGAUGUAACGGGGCUAAACCAUGCACCGAAGCUGCGGCAGCGACGCUUAUGCGUUGUUGGGUAGGGGAGCGUUCUGUAAGCCUGUGAAGGUGUACUGUGAGGUAUGCUGGAGGUAUCAGAAGUGCGAAUGCUGACAUAAGUAACGAUAAAGCGGGUGAAAAGCCCGCUCGCCGGAAGACCAAGGGUUCCUGUCCAACGUUAAUCGGGGCAGGGUGAGUCGACCCCUAAGGCGAGGCCGAAAGGCGUAGUCGAUGGGAAACAGGUUAAUAUUCCUGUACUUGGUGUUACUGCGAAGGGGGGACGGAGAAGGCUAUGUUGGCCGGGCGACGGUUGUCCCGGUUUAAGCGUGUAGGCUGGUUUUCCAGGCAAAUCCGGAAAAUCAAGGCCGAGGCGUGAUGACGAGGCACUACGGUGCUGAAGCAACAAAUGCCCUGCUUCCAGGAAAAGCCUCUAAGCAUCAGGUAACAUCAAAUCGUACCCCAAACCGACACAGGUGGUCAGGUAGAGAAUACCAAGGCGCUUGAGAGAACUCGGGUGAAGGAACUAGGCAAAAUGGUGCCGUAACUUCGGGAGAAGGCACGCUGAUACGUAGGUGAAGCGACUUGCUCGUGGAGCUGAAAUCAGUCGAAGAUACCAGCUGGCUGCAACUGUUUAUUAAAAACACAGCACUGUGCAAACACGAAAGUGGACGUAUACGGUGUGACGCCUGCCCGGUGCCGGAAGGUUAAUUGAUGGGGUUAGCGCAAGCGAAGCUCUUGAUCGAAGCCCCGGUAAACGGCGGCCGUAACUAUAACGGUCCUAAGGUAGCGAAAUUCCUUGUCGGGUAAGUUCCGACCUGCACGAAUGCGUAAUGAUGGCCAGGCUGUCUCCACCCGAGACUCAGUGAAAUUGAACUCGCUGUGAAGAUGCAGUGUACCCGCGGCAAGACGGAAAGACCCCGUGAACCUUUACUAUAGCUUGACACUGAACAUUGAGCCUUGAUGUGUAGGAUAGGUGGGAGGCUUUGAAGUGUGGACGCCAGUCUGCAUGGAGCCGACCUUGAAAUACCACCCUUUAAUGUUUGAUGUUCUAACGUGGACCCGUGAUCCGGGUUGCGGACAGUGUCUGGUGGGUAGUUUGACUGGGGCGGUCUCCUCCUAAAGAGUAACGGAGGAGCACGAAGGUUGGCUAAUCCUGGUCGGACAUCAGGAGGUUAGUGCAAUGGCAUAAGCCAGCUUGACUGCGAGCGUGACGGCGCGAGCAGGUGCGAAAGCAGGUCAUAGUGAUCCGGUGGUUCUGAAUGGAAGGGCCAUCGCUCAACGGAUAAAAGGUACUCCGGGGAUAACAGGCUGAUACCGCCCAAGAGUUCAUAUCGACGGCGGUGUUUGGCACCUCGAUGUCGGCUCAUCACAUCCUGGGGCUGAAGUAGGUCCCAAGGGUAUGGCUGUUCGCCAUUUAAAGUGGUACGCGAGCUGGGUUUAGAACGUCGUGAGACAGUUCGGUCCCUAUCUGCCGUGGGCGCUGGAGAACUGAGGGGGGCUGCUCCUAGUACGAGAGGACCGGAGUGGACGCAUCACUGGUGUUCGGGUUGUCAUGCCAAUGGCACUGCCCGGUAGCUAAAUGCGGAAGAGAUAAGUGCUGAAAGCAUCUAAGCACGAAACUUGCCCCGAGAUGAGUUCUCCCUGACCCUUUAAGGGUCCUGAAGGAACGUUGAAGACGACGACGUUGAUAGGCCGGGUGUGUAAGCGCAGCGAUGCGUUGAGCUAACCGGUACUAAUGAACCGUGAGGCUUAACCUU